GCCUGGAAGGCAGCAGAGGAGGAGG
rnacentral:piRNA from 1 species